UAUAGGUUGAACUACAGAUUAUUCAUAGGGAAUUCCUGCUAUUUGGAUGCGGCUUAUCAUUACCUUGCAAUGUUGUUGAUGAUUUUAGGAAAUACAUGUUUUCCUCUGUCCUCCUCAGAACAGACCAGACAUAGAACAAAUAGACUGGAUUUCAGGCUAACAUUCCACUCCAAACAUAUUUGGCAUGACAAGGAGUGGGAUGUUCGCACAAACAAUGUUGAUUUCUAGACCCAGACACUAGAAACAUUCACCUCCACGCUAUUGAUUUAUUUCCGAAGCACUAUCAGUUAUGAUAUUUAUGGUCCAAAUAUAAUGUCAUAGAUAAGAAAGGAAAGCCAAAAAGGCACUUAUGAAACAACUAUUAAAGCACAAAACAUGAAGAGACUUUCAGAGUAAUCUCAGAAGUCAAAUAUGAUGAUGGUGACAAACAUAUCAGCGUCUUCUCACAAUCUACCAUUAGUUCGAUUUGAAGACUAUUGUAAGUUAAAUAUUGUGAUUAUAGACCAUUGUCUUCCCUCAGAUGGCGUAAUUCUAAUGCGACAAGCGCGUCCCGGAGAUAUCUGUUUAGCAAGUCGUGGAAGUCAUCUCUGAAAACAUUUUAUGCUCAUCUACCUAACACGACUGACUCGGGACCUCUACGGUAAAACAUCAGACUGACCCACUGGCUAGGGACUACUACAGGUAACCAUCAGACUGACCUACUAGCUAGGGACUACUACAGGUAGCCAUCAGACUGACCCACUGGCUAGGGACUACUACAGUAAACCAUCAGACUGACUCACUGGCGAGGGACUACUACAGGUAACCAUCAGACUGACCCACUGGCUAGGGACUACUACAGUAAACCAUCAGACUGAACCACUGGCUAGGGACUACUACAGUAAACCAUCAGACUGAACCACUGGCUAGGGACUACUACAGUAAACCAUCAGACUGAACCACUGGCUAGGGACUACUACAGUAAACCAUCAGACUGACCUACUGGCUAGGGACUACUACUGUAAACCAUCAGACUGACCCACUGGCUAGGGACUACUACUGUAAACCAUCAGACUGACCCUCUGGCUAGGGACUACUACUGUAAACCAUCAGACUGACCCACUGGCUAGGGACUACUACUGUAAACCAUCAGACUGAACCACUGGCUAGGGACUACUACAGUAAACCAUCAGACUGAACCACUGGCUAGGGACUACUACAGUAAACCAUCAGACUGAACCACUGGCUAGGGACUACUACAGUAAACCAUCAGACUGACCUACUGGCUAGGGACUACUACUGUAAACCAUCAGACUGACCCACUGGCUAGGGACUACUACAGGUAACCAUCAGACUGACUCACUGGCUUGGGACUACUACAGGUAACCAUCAGACUGACCCACUGGCUAGGGACUACUACAGGUAACCAUCAGACUGACUCACUGGCUUGGGACUACUACAGUAAACCAUCAGACUGACUCACUGGCUAGGGACUACUACAGGUAACCAUCAGACUGACUCACUGGCUAGGGACUACUACAGGUAACCAUCAGACUGAAGUACUACUACUGUAAACCAUCAGACUGACCCAGUGGCUAAGGACUAUGGCAAACCAUCAGACUGACCCACUGGCUAGGGACUACUACUGUAAACCAUCAGACUGACCCACUGGCUAGGGACUAACACUGUAAACCAUCAGACUGACCCACUGGCUAGGGACUACUACAGGUAAACAUCAGACUGACUCACUGGCUAGGGACUACUACAGUAAACCAUCAGACUGACCCACUGGCUAGGGACUACUACUGUAAACCAUCAGACUGACCCACUGGCUAGGGACUACUACAGGUAACCAUCAGACUGACUCACUGGCUAGGGACUACUACAGUAAACCAUCAGACUGACCCACUGGCUAGGGACUACUACAGGUAACCAUCAGACUGACUCACUGGCUAGGGACUACUACAGGUAACCAUCAGACUGACCCACUGGCUAGGGACUACUACAGGUAACCAUCAGACUGACCCACUGGCUAGGGACUACUACAGGUAACCAUCAGUCUGACUGACUGGCUAGGGACUUCUACUGUAAACCAUCAGACUGACUCACUGGCUAGGGACUACUACAGGUAACCAUCAGACUGACUCACUGGCUUGGGACUACUACAGGUAACCAUCAGACUGACUCACUGGCUUGGGACUACUACAGGUAACCAUCAGACUGACCUACUGGCUAGGGACUACUACAGUAAACCAUCAGACUGACCCACUGGCUAGGGACUACUACAGUAAACCAUCAGACUGACUCACUGGCUAGGGACUACUACUGUAAACCAUCAGACUGACCCACUGGCUAGGGACUACUACAGGUAACCAUCAGACUGACUCACUGGCUUGGGACUACUACAGGUAACCAUCAGACUGACCCACUGGCUGGGGACUACUACAGGUAACCAUCAGACUGACUCACUGGCUUGGGACUACUACAGUAAACCAUCAGACUGACUCACUGGCUAGGGACUACUACAGGUAACCAUCAGACUGACUCACUGGCUAGGGACUACUACAGGUAACCAUCAGACUGACUCACUGGCUUGGGACUACUACAGGUAACCAUCAGACUGACUUACUGGCUAGGGACUACUACUGUAAACCAUCAGACUGACCCACUGGCUAGGGACUACGACUGUAAACCAUCAGACUGACCCACUGGCUAGGGAAUACUACAGGUAACCAUCAGACUGACUUACUGGCUAGGGACUACUACUGUAAACCAUCAGACUGACCCACUGGCUAGGGACUACGACUGUAAACCAUCAGACUGACCCACUGGCUAGGGACUACUACAGGUAACCAUCAGACUGACCCACUGGCUAGGGACUACUACAGGUAACCAUCAGACUGACCUACUGGCUAGGGACUACUACAGUAAACCAUCAGACUGAACCACUGGCUAGGGACUACUACAGUAAACCAUCAGACUGACCUACUGGCUAGGGACUACUACAGUAAACCAUCAGACUGAACCACUGGCUAGGGACUACUACAGUAAACCAUCAGACUGAACCACUGGCUAGGGACUACUACAGUAAACCAUCAGACUGACCUACUGGCUAGGGACUACUACUGUAAACCAUCAGACUGACCCACUGGCUAGGGACUACUACUGUAAACCAUCAGACUGACCCUCUGGCUAGGGACUACUACUGUAAACCAUCAGACUGACCCACUGGCUAGGGACUACUACUGUAAACCAUCAGACUGAACCACUGGCUAGGGACUACUACAGUAAACCAUCAGACUGAACCACUGGCUAGGGACUACUACAGUAAACCAUCAGACUGAACCACUGGCUAGGGACUACUACAGUAAACCAUCAGACUGACCUACUGGCUAGGGACUACUACUGUAAACCAUCAGACUGACCCACUGGCUAGGGACUACUACAGGUAACCAUCAGACUGACUCACUGGCUUGGGACUACUACAGGUAACCAUCAGACUGACCCACUGGCUAGGGACUACUACAGGUAACCAUCAGACUGACUCACUGGCUUGGGACUACUACAGUAAACCAUCAGACUGACUCACUGGCUAGGGACUACUACAGGUAACCAUCAGACUGACUCACUGGCUAGGGACUACUACAGGUAACCAUCAGACUGAAGUACUACUACUGUAAACCAUCAGACUGACCCAGUGGCUAAGGACUAUGGCAAACCAUCAGACUGACCCACUGGCUAGGGACUACUACUGUAAACCAUCAGACUGACCCACUGGCUAGGGACUAACACUGUAAACCAUCAGACUGACCCACUGGCUAGGGACUACUACAGGUAAACAUCAGACUGACUCACUGGCUAGGGACUACUACAGUAAACCAUCAGACUGACCCACUGGCUAGGGACUACUACUGUAAACCAUCAGACUGACCCACUGGCUAGGGACUACUACAGGUAACCAUCAGACUGACUCACUGGCUAGGGACUACUACAGUAAACCAUCAGACUGACCCACUGGCUAGGGACUACUACAGGUAACCAUCAGACUGACUCACUGGCUAGGGACUACUACAGGUAACCAUCAGACUGACCCACUGGCUAGGGACUAAUACAGGUAACCAUCAGACUGACCCACUGGCUAGGGACUACUACAGGUAACCAUCAGUCUGACUGACUGGCUAGGGACUUCUACUGUAAACCAUCAGACUGACUCACUGGCUAGGGACUACUACAGGUAACCAUCAGACUGACUCACUGGCUUGGGACUACUACAGGUAACCAUCAGACUGACUCACUGGCUUGGGACUACUACAGGUAACCAUCAGACUGACCUACUGGCUAGGGACUACUACAGUAAACCAUCAGACUGACCCACUGGCUAGGGACUACUACAGUAAACCAUCAGACUGACUCACUGGCUAGGGACUACUACUGUAAACCAUCAGACUGACCCACUGGCUAGGGACUACUACAGGUAACCAUCAGACUGACUCACUGGCUUGGGACUACUACAGGUAACCAUCAGACUGACCCACUGGCUGGGGACUACUACAGGUAACCAUCAGACUGACUCACUGGCUUGGGACUACUACAGUAAACCAUCAGACUGACUCACUGGCUAGGGACUACUACAGGUAACCAUCAGACUGACUCACUGGCUAGGGACUACUACAGGUAACCAUCAGACUGAAGUACUACUACUGUAAACCAUCAGACUGACCCACUGGCUAGGGACUUCUACUGUAAACCAUCAGACUGACCCAGUGGCUAAGGACUAUGGCAAACCAUCAGACUGACCCACUGGCUAGGGACUACUACUGUAAACCAUCAGACUGACCCACUGGCUAGGGACUACUACUGUAAACCAUCAGACUGACCCACUGGCUAGGGACUACUACAGGUAAACAUCAGACUGACUCACUGGCUAGGGACUACUACAGUAAACCAUCAGACUGACCCACUGGCUAGGGACUACUACUGUAAACCAUCAGACUGACCCACUGUCUAGGGACUACUACUGUAAACCAUCAGACUGACCCACUGGCUAGGGACUACUACUGUAAACCAUCAGACUGACCCACUGGCUAGGGACUACUACUGUAAACCAUCAGACUGACCCACUGGCUAGGGACUUCUACUGUAAACCAUCAGACUGACCCACUGGCUAGGGACUUCUACUGUAAACCAUCAGACUGACCCACUGGCUAGGGACUACUACAGUAAACCAUCAGACUGACCCACUGUCUAGGGACUUCUACUUCUACUCUACCCAUAGGGCGACGGACAAUUGGCUCAGCGUCUUUAGGGUUUGGCUAGGGUAGGCCGUCAUUGUAAAUAAGAAUUUGUUCUUAACUGACUUGCCUAUUUAAAUCAAGUUUACAUUUAAACAAUUUAAUAAAUGCAAAUUCAUAUGGAUUGAUUGGAGACUGGCUUGUCCGCAUUUCAAAUGUAAUGAUACGGAUUCUAAAACGACAAUAGUCCUUAGCUACACAGUACCAUUCAAAGAUUGGAGACACCUUCUCAUUCCAGGGUUUUUCUUUAUUUUUUACUAUUUUCUACAUUGUAGAAUAAUCGUGAAGACAUCAAAACUAUGAAACAACACAUGUGGAAUAAUGUUGUACCAAAAAAAGUUUUAAAUCAAAACAGAGAUUCUUUAAAGUAGCCAUCCUUUGCCUUGAUGACAGCUUUGCACACUCUUGGCAUUCUUUCAAUCAGCUUCAUGAGGUAGUCACCUGGAAUGCAUUUCAAUUCAAUUGUGGAAUUUAUUUCCUUCUUAAUGUGUUGGAGCCAAUUAGUUGUGUUCUGACAUGUUAGGGUUGGUAUACAGAAGAUAGCCCUAUUUGGUAAAAGACCAAGUCCAUAUUAUGGCAAGAACAGCUCAAAUAAGCAAAGAGAAAUGACAGUCCAUCAUUACUUUAAGAUAUGAAGGUCAGUCAAUUAAAGUUUCUUCAAGUGCAGUUACAAAAACCAUCAAGCGCUAUGAUGAAACUGGCUCUCAUGAGGACCGCCACAGGAAAGGAAGACCCAGAGUUACCUCUGCUGCAGAGGAUAAGUUCAUUAGAGUUACCUCUGCUGCAGAGGAUAAGUUCAUUAGAGUUACCUCUGCUGCAGAGGAUAAGUUCAUUAGAGUUACCUCUGCUGCAGAGGAUAAGUUCAUUAGAGUUACCUCUGCUGCAGAGGAUAAGUUCAUUAGAGUUACCUCUGCUGCAGAGGAUAAGUUCAUUAGAGUUACCUCUGCUGCAGAGGAUAAGUUUAUUAGAGUUACCUCUGCUGCAGAGGAUAAGUUCAUUAGAGUUACCUCUGCUGCAGAGGAUAAGUUCAUUAGAGUUACCAGCCUCAGAAAUUGCAGCCCAAAUAAAUGCUUCACAGAGUUCAAGUAACAGACACAUCUCAACAUCAACUGUUCAGAAGAGACUGUGUGAAUCAGGCCUUCAUGGUCAAAUUGCUGCAAAGAAACAACUACUAAAGGACAUCAAUAAACACAAUCAAUGGACGUUAGACCAGUGGAAAUCUGUCUGAUUGCAAAUUUGAGAUUUUUGGUUCCAAUAUUGGUGUCUGUGAGACUCAGAGUAGGUGAACGGAUGAUCUCUGCAUGUGUGGGUCCCACUGUGAAGCAUGGAGGAGGAGGUGUUUGGCCAAGAAGGAGAGUGAUGGGAGUGCUGCAUCAGAUGACCUGGCCUCCACAAUCACCUGACCUCAACCCAAUUGAGAUGUUUUGGGAUGAGUUGGACCGCAGAGUGUUGGAAAAGCGGCCAACAAGUGGUCAGCAUAUAUGUGAACUCCUUCAAGACUGUUGGAAAAGCAUUCCAGGUGAAGCUGGUUGAGAGAAACUGUCAUCAAGGCAAAGAAUCUCUAUAAUAUAUAUAAUAUAUUUUCAUUUGUUUUACUUUUUUUGUUACUACAUGAUUCCAUAUGUGUUAUUUCAUAGUUUUGAUGUCUUCACUAUUAUUCUACAAUGUAGAAAAUUGUAACAAUUAAAGUAAAACUUGAAUGAGUAGGUGUGUCCAAACAUUUCACUGGUACUGUAUAGAAUUAGGUAGUUAUAACUUGCUGAUGUCAAAAUUAGCUACAGAUGUGUAACAUUUUCUAAUCUCAUGACAGUGUAUUGUAGCACAACUCCUUUUUUUUUUAUCAAUCCCACUAAGGUUUGCAUGUUAUCGAACAGAUCGGUGCAGACAGCCGUAAUCUGACGUUAAGACAACGGAUAAUAGACCAGAUGAAUGGCUACUUAGAAACAGAAUGCCAACUGUCUUCUGAUGUUCUAAAUAAGCACAUACUUUACCGCAGCUGGCAGUUACACUGAACAAGCCUUAAAAUAGUAGUGUGUGCUAUUAUUAUCAUUAUGCAUUAUUUAAUAAGGAUUACUUUGGUGUUUACACAUUAAUAAUCCCAAAUCUAACAACGACUGUAUUGCCAGUUAAUUAACACUCUUAACUGUAUUCCAAAUGGCACUCUAUUCCUUAUUUAGUGUACUCCCUUUGACCAGGGCCCUUAGCAUUCUCUAUCUCACUCACUGAAUCAGAAUUGUUAUUAUUAAAACACUAAUCAUGGCACCUGGAGACCCAACGAUAAUGAUAUCCAUGUAUUCUUAUUGUUAUGGGGAUUAUAAUGAUAGGCCUCAUCCAUCUCUUUCACUGUGGCUACAUGGGGAUACUUUCACUCCUCUGUUGGGUUUAAGGCAGCACCAUAACCCACACCUCUGAAAUAUGCAUCGUUUCUAUGGCUUGUUAUUCACAGUAUGUAGAAUGUAGCUUUGUACAAAGCCUUUUACAGGAAUGCUUUUUGUAUUCUUUUUUUGUCCCUUAAUACUUCACUAUUAUACAUUUUUACUAGUUUUUUGCUAAUUAUUUUAAACAAAUAUAUAUGAAUAUAUAGAUAUUAGUCGUUCCUUUUUUUUUAUUUGAUUGGACACAUGCUAGUUGAAUGUUUGUUUUUAACGAUUGUUUAUUUGUUCUGAGACUUAAGGUGUUGCCUGGGAAAACAACUGAACACCAACACACAUGGCAUAUGUCCUUACAUGACAUUACUUCAUCUAACUGUAUUGUGAUUUUGUUCAAAGAGAGUAAGCUUUGAUAAAAAAAAAUAUAUAUAUAUAUAUAAUUUCAAAGACCAGACUCUUGUUUAUGUUCCAGUACCGGUUCUAGCCGGUUCCAGAUUAUUUGAUUAGCACCUUGUGAAGUGUUCUCAAUGUCUGUGAUGUAAUUUAUUAAUGUUUUUAUACUUGUACAAUUCUUAAGAGUUUUGUUUUUGGAUAUUUUAUCAGCGUGUGAAUUAACCCCCCCCUCCUACUUAGCGAGUUAGUUCCACUAUGUUUAUGACAUCAGUAUGUUUUCAGACACUGUGUGGUCAUUACACUUAGCAUAGUUAAAAUAAUGUUUUUGUUAGUUUUUUCAUAUUAUUAUUUUCAUAUGGUUUCUAACAUCUCAGUCUGUCCUCAUCAGUCAAGAUGUUACAAAUGUUAUUAUUAUUAUUGUUAUUAUUGAGAAGCUAUGUCCAAUAACCAUCAUGCCAUUGAUUUUAUUUUUCUAUAAAACAUGAGGAUUAUUCUGUUCAUUUUUCCAUAAGGUUCGUGUGCUGAUUGAUAGCAGUCUUUUAGUCCCAUGUAAAUGAUGUCACAAUACGACACUCAGAUCAAACUGUCUUUCAACGGAACUCGUUUCAUUUCUACCUGAAUACAGUAUCUUUGUUGUGUGUUUUUGUAUGUCCAACCUAUUAAAUGUAUACACUGUUGUCAAAUGACUACAACCUUUAUCCUUGUUGACUUUGCAAUACAAUAUUGUCUAAACCAG